rnacentral:rRNA from 1 species
CCUACGGGGGGCAGCAGUGGGGAAUAUUGCGCAAUGGGCGAAAGCCUGAUGCAGCAACGCCGCGUGAAGGAAGAAGGUUUUCGGCUCGUAAACUUCUAUCAACAGGGACGAAAAAAAUGACGGUACCUGAAUAAGCAACCCCUACUAACUACGUGCCAGCAGCCGCGGUAAGACGUAGGGGGGCAGCGUUAUCCGGAAUUACUGGGUGGAAAGGGUGAGUAGGCGGCAUGGUAAGCCAGAUGUGAAAGACUUGGGCUUAACCCGAUGCUUGCAUUUGGAACUAUCAAGCUAGAGUACAGGAGAGGAAAGCGGAAUUCCUAGUGUAGCGGUGAAAUGCGUAGAUAUUAGGAAGAACACCAGUGGCGAAGGCGGCUUUCUGGACUGAAACUGACGCUGAGGCACGAAAGCGUGGGGAGCGAACAGGAUUAGAUACCCGUGUAGUC